rnacentral:rRNA from 1 species
CCUACGGGCGGCACCAGUAGGGAAUCUUCCGCAAUGGACGAAAGUCUGACGGAGCGACGCCGCGUGAGCGAAGAAGGUCUUCGGAUCGUAAAGCUCUGUUGUUAGGGAAGAAGAAGUACCGUUCGAAUAGGGCGGUACGGUGACGGUACCUAACGAGAAAGCCCCGGCUAACUACGUGCCAGCAGCCGCGGUAAUACGUAGGGGGCGAGCGUUGUCCGGAAUUAUUGGGCGUAAAGCGCGCGCAGGCGGUUCCUUAAGUCUGAUGUGAAAGCCCACGGCUCAACCGUGGAGGGUCAUUGGAAACUGGGGGACUUGAGUGCAGAAGAGGAGAGUGGAAUUCCAUGUGUAGCGGUGAAAUGCGUAGAUAUAUGGAGGAACACCAGUGGCGAAGGCGACUCUCUGGUCUGUAACUGACGCUGAGGCUCGAAAGCGUGGGGAGCAAACAGGAUUAGAUACCCCUGUAGUC